rnacentral:rRNA from 1 species
UAAAGCGUGCGCAGGCGGUUAUGUAAGACAGAUGUGAAAUCCCCGGGCUCAACCUGGGAACUGCAUUUGUGACUGCAUGGCUAGAGUACGGUAGAGGGGGAUGGAAUUCCGCGUGUAGCAGUGAAAUGCGUAGAUAUGCGGAGGAACACCGAUGGCGAAGGCAAUCCCCUGGACCUGUACUGACGCUCAUGCACGAAAGCGUGGGGAGCAAACAGGAUUAGAUACCGUGU